rnacentral:rRNA from 2 species
CUAAGCGGAGGAAAAGAAACUAACAAGGAUUCCCCUAGUAACGGCGAGUGAAGAGGGAAAAGCCCAGCACCGAAUCCCACAGCCUUGCGCUGUCGGGAACUGUGGUGUAUAGGAAGCCUACUUGUCGGCGUGUUCGGGUACCCAAGUCCUCCUGAUCGUGGCCUCUCCCAUAGCGGGUGUCAGGCCCAUACAGGCACCCGACGGCGUCGGCUUGGAGCUUCCUCGGAGUCGGGUUGUUUGGGAAUG